GUUUUAAAAUUAACCGGGUAUCAGAUAGUCGAGGCUCUCGACUGUAUGAAAAGUAAUACAUCAUCAUAAUGGGCAACUUAUACUGCACUUUCUCGUCUCUUUCAUUUAAAAACCAUUUUCCCCGCUAAUUAUCGCAUGACUAACCGCUCUUCCAGGGAAUCCCCGAACAAGGACCCCAAACGGAAACAAACUUCAGCUCCUCGAAUCCGUCACAGCUGGCUGCCAGGCAACACAAAAGCUUAAUAAAGCGGCCAGCUAAAAAAAAAAAUACGUACACUUGAAUGUGGCAGGGGGCCAAGGAGGUCACAGUCUUUGGCAACUGUUGCCCCAAAAUCGGACGCAGAGCUCGUUGCGGGAGCAUUCACACAAGUGGGGAGAAAUCAACGCGUAUGGGGAUGUGGGUUUCGAGUUGGAGUUGGAAAGUGGAGAAAGGAACCCACUGUGACCACGUCGGACGGAGAGUCACACAUGUGACCAGAGCCAGAAAUUGGAGCGGCCAUUGAAUAUGAUAGAAAUAGAAAUAGAAAUACGUACGUGCAAAAAUUUCAACGCUUGAUUAAAUUUCAGUCACAGUCACAGAGAGAAGGUUGCUGCGAU
ensembl:ncRNA lncRNA:CR45578 long non-coding RNA:CR45578